AUCAAAGAUGCUGGGAGCACAAAAACCUAAAGACUGUUGGAGAACUUUGGUUUACUAAUUUAAGGAAGAAAUGCGCUACAAUGCCCACAGUUUAAUGGAGAGGGUGUUACGGGCAAAUGCAAAUAUUACAAGUUUUAGAAUGAAAUGUUGUAUUUCUUAAACUGUGUACUUUGUCUUUAAGAGAUAUUGCAAACUGACAAGGUGUUAGAAAUGGAACAUAUUGUUUUUCAUAACUGUUUCUUUAAGCAAUAACCUCAGUGCAUGAUAUGUUUGCGCCAUUUUGUCCCAGACGAAUUACAAUAACAAUAAUGCAUAAACAAGCUUCAAGGCUAUGCUACGACUCUUGCAG